AAACAGUUAGCUCAGUUGGGAGAGCAUUCCACAAGCGAAGGGUCGUGGGUUCGAGCCCCACACUGUUUCUU
rnacentral:tRNA from 1 species